rnacentral:RNase_P_RNA from 1 species
UCAGUCGGUCGGACGGCCGCUCCGGCGAAACCGAAAGGUUGCCGGGGAGGAAAGUCCGGGCUCCGCGGACAAACGGUGCCGGAUAACAUCCGGCGGGUGCGAAUCCAGGGACAGUGCCACAGAAAACAUACCGCCGCGGCAGCUUCGGCUAAACCGCAGCAAGGGUGAAAUGGUGCGGUAAGAGCGCACCGCGCCGGCGGUAACGCCGGCGGCAGGGCAAACCCCACCGGGAGCAAGACCGAAUAGGGACGGCGCGAGGCCUGCGCGAAAGUGCAGCUUCGGGAUCGCGUCCGGAUCCUGCCGUCCGGGUAGGUUGCUUGAGGCGCCGGGCAACCGGCGUCCCAGAGGAAUGGCCGUCACGCAGGCGAAUCCGUUCGCCUGCCGUCCAGAACCCGGCUUACAGGCCGGCUGACGUG